rnacentral:rRNA from 1 species
UGCAGUCGAACGAUGCUUUCGGGCAUAGUGGCGCACGGGUGCGUAACGCGUGGGAAUCUGCCCUUAGGUUCGGAAUAACAGUUAGAAAUGACUGCUAAUACCGGAUGAUGUCGAUAAGACCAAAGAUUUAUCGCCUGAGGAUGAGCCCGCGUAGGAUUAGCUAGUUGGUGUGGUAAAGGCGCACCAAGGCGACGAUCCUUAGCUGGUCUGAGAGGAUGAUCAGCCACACUGGGACUGAGACACGGCCCAGACUCCUACGGGAGGCAGCAGUGGGGAAUAUUGGACAAUGGGCGCAAGCCUGAUCCAGCAAUGCCGCGUGAGUGAUGAAGGCCUUAGGGUUGUAAAGCUCUUUUACCCGGGAUGAUAAUGACAGUACCGGGAGAAUAAGCCCCGGCUAACUCCGUGCCAGCAGCCGCGGUAAUACGGAGGGGGCUAGCGUUGUUCGGAAUUACUGGGCGUAAAGCGCACGUAGGCGGCUUUGUAAGUUAGAGGUGAAAGCCUGGAGCUCAACUCCAGAACUGCCUUUAAGACUGCAUCGCUUGAAUCCAGGAGAGGUGAGUGGAAUUCCGAGUGUAGAGGUGAAAUUCGUA